rnacentral:rRNA from 1 species
UGUAGCGGUGGAAAUGCGUAGAUAUCGGGAGGAACACCAGUGGCGAAGGCGGCCUACUGGGCAUCAACUGACGCUGAGGCUCGAAAGCAUGGGUAGCAAACAGGAUUAGAUACCCUGGUAGUCCAUGCUGUAAACGAUGAUUACUAGGUGUGGGAAGAUUGACCCUUUCCGUGCCGCAGUUAACACAAUAAGUAAUCCACCUGGGGAGUACGACCGCAAGGUUGAAACUCAAAGGAAUUGACGGGGGCCCGCACAAGCAGUGGAGUAUGUGGUUUAAUUCGAAGCAACGCGAAGAACCUUACCAGGUCUUGACAUCCAACGACCGCCUAAGAGAUUAGGCUUUCCUUCGGGACGUUGAGACAGGUGGUGCAUGGUUGUCGUCAGCUCGUGUCGUGAGAUGUUGGGUUAAGUCCCGCAACGAGCGCAACCCUUAUUACUAGUUACUACGCAAGAGGACUCUAGUGAGACUGCCGUUGACAAAACGGAGGAAGGUGGGGAUGACGUCAAAUCAUCAUGCCCUUUAUGACCUGGGCUACACACGUACUACAAUGGCUAUUAACAGAGAGAAGCGAGACCGCAAGGUGGAGCAAACCUCAGAAAAAUAGUCUCAGUCCGGAUUGGGGGCUGCAACCCGCCCCCAUGAAGCCGGAAUUGCUAGUAAUCGCGGAUCAGCAUGCCGCGGUGAAUACGUUCCCGGGCCUUGUACACACCGCCCGUCACACCAUGAGAGCCGGGGGGACCCGAAGUCGGUAGUCUAACCGCAAGGAGGACGCCGCCGAAGGUAAAACUGGUGAUUGGGGUGAAGUCGUAACAAGGUAACCGUAAAGGGCGAAUUCGGAGCCUGCUUUUGUACAAAGUGCGGCGAUCGUA